rnacentral:rRNA from 1 species
AAGCGUCGGUAAGGUGAUAUGAACCGUUAUAACCGGCGAUUUCCGAAUGGGGAAACCCAGUGUGUUUCGACACACUAUCAUUAACUGAAUCCAUAGGUUAAUGAGGCGAACCGGGGGAACUGAAACAUCUAAGUACCCCGAGGAAAAGAAAUCAACCGAGAUUCCCCCAGUAGCGGCGAGCGAACGGGGAGCAGCCCAGAGCCUGAAUCAGUGUGUGUGUUAGUGGAAGCGUCUGGAAAGGCGCGCGAUACAGGGUGACAGCCCCGUACACAAAAAUGCACAUGCUGUGAGCUCGAUGAGUAGGGCGGGACACGUGGUAUCCUGUCUGAAUAUGGGGGGACCAUCCUCCAAGGCUAAAUACUCCUGACUGACCGAUAGUGAACCAGUACCGUGAGGGAAAGGCGAAAAGAACCCCGGCGAGGGGAGUGAAAAAGAACCUGAAACCGUGUACGUACAAGCAGUGGGAGCACGCUUAGGCGUGUGACUGCGUACCUUUUGUAUAAUGGGUCAGCGACUUAUAUUCUGUAGCAAGGUUAACCGAAUAGGGGAGCCGAAGGGAAACCGAGUCUUAACUGGGCGUUAAGUUGCAGGGUAUAGACCCGAAACCCGGUGAUCUAGCCAUGGGCAGGUUGAAGGUUGGGUAACACUAACUGGAGGACCGAACCGACUAAUGUUGAAAAAUUAGCGGAUGACUUGUGGCUGGGGGUGAAAGGCCAAUCAAACCGGGAGAUAGCUGGUUCUCCCCGAAAGCUAUUUAGGUAGCGCCUCGUGAAUUCAUCUCCGGGGGUAGAGCACUGUUUCGGCAAGGGGGUCAUCCCGACUUACCAACCCGAUGCAAACUGCGAAUACCGGAGAAUGUUAUCACGGGAGACACACGGCGGGUGCUAACGUCCGUCGUGAAGAGGGAAACAACCCAGACCGCCAGCUAAGGUCCCAAAGUCAUGGUUAAGUGGGAAACGAUGUGGGAAGGCCCAGACAGCCAGGAUGUUGGCUUAGAAGCAGCCAUCAUUUAAAGAAAGCGUAAUAGCUCACUGGUCGAGUCGGCCUGCGCGGAAGAUGUAACGGGGCUAAACCAUG